rnacentral:rRNA from 1 species
AUGAAGAAGUACAAAGACCACCUCGCCUUGCUGUAUAAGGCGCACGAGAAACUCAAGGAUGAUCUCAAUGCAGUGCUCAACCACCCACUAAUGCCGUCAGAAUUUAAACGAGCAUGGAAGGACCUCAUUCAGAGAUACAACUUGCAAGACGAUGAAGUGAUGAAUUCGCUGUGGGAAGACAGGCACGAGUGGAUCUCGGCUUACUACAAGGAAGUUUUCUGUGCUCGGAUGACUUCCACGCAGAGAAGCGAGAGCAUGAACCGCAUACUGAAGCAAAACUUUGUCAAAGAGAAGCAUGAUCUCCAUCUGUUUGCUCAGCAGGUGGACAAGUGCAUUCAGACCAGGAAGGCCGUCGAGCACGCAGAGACAGUAGCAAAUGAGUCAGAAGUAAAGACAACAACCCAGUUUGGGUUCGAAGUUCAGCUAUCAAAAGUGUAUACAAGGGCAGUGUUUGCAGAUUUCAAAGAAACACUCUACCGUAGCACUGCAUUCAGAGCAGAACGGUGCCCUGAGAACCCGACAAAGUAUCCCGUACACCACUACAACAGAUCGGAUGCAUUUGACUGGGCAAGGCAUAAUUUCCAAGUGGUCGCCGAUGAACGGAAAGGUGUCUACGAAUGUGAAUGCAAACUCUGGACACACACAGGGCUCUUUUGCGUCCAUGUGUUAUGCAUGCUUUCUCAUUUGAGAGUACUCAAGAUUCCUGAGGUGUACAUCAUGAAAAGAUACACCCGUAACGCAAGAUCAAAUGCGACGUUUGACAGAAGAGACUAUGAACAAACAAGACCAGAUGGAACAUCGCUUUUUUGCCGUAGAAAAUUGCUGACAGAAACAGCAAUGGACCUUGCAAACAGAGCGACAAGGUCCGAC